rnacentral:rRNA from 1 species
GAUGAACGCUGGCGGCGUGCCUAAUACAUGCAAGUCGAGCGAACAGACGAGGAGCUUGCUCCUCUGACGUUAGCGGCGGACGGGUGAGUAACACGUGGAUAACCUACCUAUAAGACUGGGAUAACUUCGGGAAACCGGAGCUAAUACCGGAUAAUAUAUUGAACCGCAUGGUUCAAUAGUGAAAGACGGUGUUGCUGUCACUUAUAGAUGGAUCCGCGCCGCAUUAGCUAGUUGGUAAGGUAACGGCUUACCAAGGCGACGAUGCGUAGCCGACCUGAGAGGGUGAUCGGCCACACUGGAACGGAGACACGGUCCAGACUCCUACGGGAGGCAGCAGUAGGGAAUCUUCCGCAAUGGGCGAAAGCCUGACGGAGCAACGCCGCGUGAGUGAUGAAGGUCUUCGGAUCGUAAAACUCUGUUAUUAGGGAAGAACAAAUGUGUAAGUAACUAUGCACGUCUUGACGGUACCUAAUCAGAAAGCCACGGCUAACUACGUG